rnacentral:rRNA from 1 species
GAAUGAACGUUGGCGGCGUGGAUUAGGCAUGCAAGUCGAGCGCUCAUAGCAAUAUGGGAGCGGCGAACGGCGUAGGAAUUCAUAGGAACGUACCCUCAGGACGGGGAUAGCUACGGGAAACUGUAGGUAAUACCCGAUGAUCUCCGCGGAGCAAAGGUGUGAUUCCGCCUGAGGAGCGGCUUAUGCGAUAUUAGCUAGUUGGUGGGGUAAUGGCCUACCAAGGCGAAGAUGUCUAGGGGGUGUGAGAGCAUGGCCCCCACGACCGGAACUGAGAUACUGUCCGGACACCUACGGGUGGCUGCAGUCGAGAAUCUUCCGCAAUGGACGACAGUCUGACGGAGCGACGCCGCGUGCGGGAUGAAGGCCCUUGGGUUGUAAACCGCUUUCGGAGGGGAUGAAAUCCUCGAGGGUUCUCCCUCGAGGUUGACAGAGCCUCAAAAGAAGCACGGGCUAAGUACGUGCCAGCAGCCGCGGUAACACGUACUGUGCGAACGUUAUUCGGAAUCACUGGGCUUAAAGGGUGCGUAGGCGGCGAUUCAAGUCAGAUGUGAAAUGCCUGAGCUCAACUGAGGCAUUGCGUUUGAAACUGAAUUGCUAGAGUAUUUCAGGGGUGUGCGGAACUGCCAGUGGAGCGGUGAAAUGUGUUGAUAUUGGCAGGAACACCGGAGGCGAAAGCGGCACACUGGGGAAUAACUGACGCUGAGGCACGAAAGCCAGGGGAGCGAACGGGAUUAGAUACCCCGGUAGUCCUGGCUGUAAACGAUGAGCACUGGGCGGGAGGGGGUUUCCCUUUUCUGCCGUAGCGAAAG